rnacentral:misc_RNA from 1 species
ACGUCUGUACAAAAUGUUCAAGGGCUCAGAAUGGAAGAAAAUUACCCUCAGGACAGCUUGCAUGUUCCCUGCGGUCGUGUUUGCGAUUUUCUUCGUCUUGAAUGCACUCAUCUGGGGUGAGAAGUCUUCCGGUGCUGUGCCUUUCACCACCAUGUUCGCCCUUGUGUUCCUCUGGUUCGGUAUCUCGGUUCCUCUUGUAUAUGUCGGCAGUUACUUGGGGUUCAAGAAACCCGCAAUCGAGGAUCCUGUGAAAACAAACAAGAUUCCAAGGCAAAUACCCGA